UACGUAGGGGGCAAGCGUUGUCCGGAAUCAUUGGGCGUAAAGCGCGUGUAGGCGGCCCGAUAAGUCCGCUGUGAAAGUCCAGGGCUCAACCCUGGGAUGCCGGUGGAUACUGUCGGGCUCGAGUCCGGAAGAGGAGUGUGGAAUUCCUGGUGUAGCGGUGAAAUGCGCAGAUAUCGUGAGGAAGACCAGUUGCGAAGGCGGAUCUCUGGGCAGUUCCUGACACUGAGGCACGAAGGCCAGGGGAGCAAACGGG
rnacentral:rRNA from 1 species